GCAAGUCGAGGGGUAACGCUGUAGCUUGCUACAGGCGACGACCGGCGCACGGGUGAGUAACGCGUAUGCAACCUACCUUAAACUGAGGGAUAGCCCAUGGAAACGUGGAUUAAUACCUCAUAAUAUAUGUUUACCGCAUGGUAGAUAUAUUAAAGCUCCGGCGGUUUAAGAUGGGCAUGCGUGCCAUUAGAUAGUUGGUGAGGUAACGGCUCACCAAGUCAACGACGGCUACGGGGUCUUAAAGGAUGGUC
rnacentral:rRNA from 1 species